GCCCCGAUGGCUUAAUGGUUAGAGCGUCCGCCUCGAGUGCAGGAAGUCGAGGGUUCGAACCCCGGCCGAGUCA